GAAAGAUGAAAAGAACUUUGAAAAGAGAGUUAAACAGUACGUGAAAUUGUUGAAAGGGAAACGAUUGAAGCCAGUCGUACCUUCGGGUAAUCAGCCUUUCGGGUGCGAUUCUGUGGAGUGUGAGGAGCUUAAACACCUUCAUGCUUUGCAUAUUCGUGCUCUUGGGUGUACUUGCCCGUGUGGUUGGUUAACAUCAAUUUUGGUGGUCAUAAAAUGACUGGAGGAAUGUAGCUUCGAUCUUGUAUUGAAGUGUUAUA
rnacentral:rRNA from 1 species